rnacentral:lncRNA from 1 species
GAGAACAAACUACCAAUUAACGAGCGAGGAAACAGGGCCAGAGAAUUGGAACAAAAUACAAGGCUGCCUCUGAAAGUGUGACUUUUCAGUUCCUCCUAUGGGGUGGAUUCUACUUACUUACAUCUUGAAGAUGGAUUUUGCGACUUGCUUUGGCCAUGAGAAUACAAAAGAAGUGACAUUGUUCCAGUUCUAAGUCUAGACCUCAAGUGGCCUUGCAUGCUUUGAUUUGUUCUCCUGGAAAGUUGUCCUGCCAUCAUGAGAACAGAUCCAGGCUAACCUUCUGAUGAUGAGAGAGGUGUGGUCCAGCAGUCCUCAGCACCCCAGCUGACAGUCAUCCUAGAUUGAUCAGUCCUCAGCCACCUGCAAGAUGACCGCAGACACAGGAGUGAGAAGGUUGAUACAGGCUGUGCCCAGCCCAGAUUAGCAGGGCCACCCAUUUUACCUGUAAAUCCAUGAGCAAUAAAAAAUGAUGGCUGUCUUGA